rnacentral:rRNA from 2 species
AGAGUUUGAUCCUGGCUCAGGAUGAACGCUGGCGGCGUGCCUAAUACAUGCAAGUCGAACGCUUCACUUCGGUGAAGAGUGGCGAACGGGUGAGUAAUACAUAAGUAACCUGGCAUCUACAGGGGGAUAACUGAUGGAAACGUCAGCUAAGACCGCAUAGGUGUAGAGAUCGCAUGAACUCUAUAUGAAAAGUGCUACGGGACUGGUAGAUGAUGGACUUAUGGCGCAUUAGCUGGUUGGUAGGGUAACGGCCUACCAAGGCGACGAUGCGUAGCCGACCUGAGAGGGUGACCGGCCACACUGGGACUGAGACACGGCCCAGACUCCUACGGGAGGCAGCAGUAGGGAAUUUUCGGCAAUGGGGGAAACCCUGACCGAGCAACGCCGCGUGAAGGAAGAAGUAAUUCGUUAUGUAAACUUCUGUCAUAGAGGAAGAACGGUGGAUAUAGGGAAUGAUAUCCAAGUGACGGUACUCUAUAAGAAAGCCACGGCUAACUACGUGCCAGCAGCCGCGGU